UAUAUAUAGAGCCUAAUUACUGGUGGGUUGUCUUAUAUUUGAGUAAAUACAGCAGUUUUUUUUUUCCCCACAGUACUUCAGCAACUCCCUUCCAGAAAAUCCAGGCAUAAAAUGCAAAAACAAAAAAUAGAACAGCUAGAUUGUCAGUCCUGGGUUAAUCAGAGCAGUCCCAGAAAAAAUAAGCUGCUGGUUCUGCAUCAGCAAAGUCAAAGGAAGAAGGAGACCCAAGGAAUUCCUUCUGUUUUCACACUUUGAGCAGCUUAGGUGGAUGCAAUGGUCCGUCUACCUACAAGAAUCAGGAUGGGAUUCUUGUUUGGGAUGAAAUAGUCUUCAGAAAUGUUCACAAAGUGCUGUCAUCAGGUGCUAAGUUGAUUCAGACUGGUUUUGGUAAAGUACUAAGAAUGUUUUUUCUUGAAAUAAACCAAUUCCAUUUUAGAGGAA
rnacentral:lncRNA from 1 species